GACGGGGCCCGCACAAGCGGUGGAGCAUGUGGUUUAAUUCGAUGCAACGCGAAGAACCUUACCUGGGCUUGACAUCCCGGGAAUCCCUUGGAAACAAGGGAGUGCCCUUCGGGGAACCUGGAGACAGGUGCUGCAUGGCUGUCGUCAGCUCGUGUCGUGAGAUGUAGGGUUAAGUCCCGCAACGAGCGCAACCCUUGUCUUUAAUUGCCAUCAUUGAGUUGGGCACUUUAAAGAGACUGCCGGUGUUAAACCGGAGGAAGGUGGGGAUGACGUCAAGUCCUCAUGGCCUUUAUGCCUAGGGCUACACACGUGCUACAAUGGGCGGUACAAAGGGUUGCAAUCCCGCGAGGGGGAGCCAAUCCCAAAAAGCCGUUCUCAGUUCGGAUUGGAGUCUGCAACUCGACUCCAUGAAGUUGGAAUCGCUAGUAAUCGUGGAUCAGCAUGCCACAGUGAAUACGUUCCCGGGCCUU
rnacentral:rRNA from 1 species